CUCCACGCGAACGCGAUGAACAAUGCGUGCCUCAGCACAAUCUCCCCUCCUUCUACGCGAUCGCGAUACAUUACCCGCGUUUGCAGUGCACAACAUUCCAACCUUCCGCGAACGCGUCCUCAUUUAUGCAAUCGUGAAGAGCAAUUACCAUCUGCCAACAAGGACCCUACGCGAUCGCGGCUGAACCUUGGCGAACACAGUGAAGGAAACCAUAAGCACAGAAAACCAACAAUCUCAAUACAUGAACAAAUGGUCUAAACCCAAUCCGAAACACACCCGGGGCCCUCGGGACCCCCUUUGAACAUACCAACAAGUCCUAAAACACGAUACGAAUUCGGUCGAAGCCUCAAAUCACAUCAAACAACACCAAAACCACGAAUCGCACAUCUAUUCAAGCCUAAUGAACUAACUUCCAACUUCUAAAACUAAUGCCGAAACAUACCAAACCAACUCCAAAUGACUUCAAAUUUUGCACACAAGUCAUAAAUGACACAACGGACCUAUUCCAGCUUCCGAAGCCGAAAUCCGUACCCGACAUCAAUAAAGUCAACUCUCAGUCAAACUUCUCUACCUUCCAAACCUUUAACUUUUCAACUUUCACCAAUUCAGGCCAAAACGACCUACGAACCUUCAAAUCAACUUCCGGACAUACAUCUAAGUCCAAAAUCACCAUACGAAGCUAUCGGAAC
rnacentral:lncRNA from 1 species